UGGGGAAUAUUGCGCAAUGGGGGAAACCCUGACGCAGCAACGCCGCGUGCGGGAUGAAGGCCUUCGGGUUGUAAACCGCUUUCAGCAGGGACGAUUAUGACGGUACCUGCAGAAGAAGCCCCGGCUAACUACGUGCCAGCAGCCGCGGUAAUACGUAGGGGGCAAGCGUUAUCCGGAUUCAUUGGGCGUAAAGCGCGCGCAGGCGGACCGUUAAGCGGGACCUCUAAUCUCAGGGCUCAACCUUGAGCCGGGUCCCGAACUGGCGUGUCUCGGGUUCGGUAGGGGAGGUCGGAAUUCCCGGUGUAGCGGUGGAAUGCGCAGAUAUCGGGAAGAACACCGAUGGCGAAGGCAGACCUCUGGGCCGCAACCGACGCUGAGGCGCGAAAGCUAGGGGAGCGAACAGGAUUAGAUACCC
rnacentral:rRNA from 1 species